GGUUGCUAUGCUUUAGCGGCUUCCGGCUGCAGGACGCCGAGUACCGGCCCGAGGGGAGAAAUGGGCUUGGUGGGCCCUUUGACCGCCUCGCUGGCCUUUCUCGGGAAACUUCUACCCACCCCUAAUGCUGAAAAGAGAAAUGGAAUAAAAAUCUAAAUGAUGAAGACAAAGACCUGAGAGGACAAUGUUCAAGGGAUAACCUUCCAGAGAGCAGAAUUAAGGUUGAAUCAAGAGGAAUAUUUAUUGUGAUUAUUGUGUCCCUUCUCCACUGUUAUUAUAAGAGAGUGGAGAGGCCAAUUCUAGACUAGGAAGAACCACUUCUAGACUAGAAAGAAGACCCAACCACACCUGGAGACUCUAGAGAUUCAACUGAAUGCAAUGACUGGAUGGGAGCCUACUUGCACCUAUAGAACUCUCUGGAAAAAAGAUCUACUCCCUCAUCUAUAGUUUCACAGAGAUCUCAAGUUUGAGAGAGAGUUUGAGCCAAGUUUGAGCCCUAUCCAACUCUUGAAGCCCUUCCUAGCCAAGAUAACAUUCAGUUGUUAGGGCAUAAAGGUAUGCUCUGCUUUCAGGUCCUGUACUUUCUUUUUUUUAAUAUAUUUUUAUUUAUUUCAGAGAAGAAGGGAGUGGGAGAGAGAUAGAAACAUCAAUGAUGAGAGAGAAUCACUCAUCAGCUGCCCCCUGGCACACCUCCUAUUGGGGAUCCAGCCUGAAACCUGGGCAUGUGCAUUGACUGGGAAUUGAAACAUGACCUCCUGGUUCAUAGGUUGACACUCAACCACUGAGCCAUGCCAGACAGGCUUAAGUAUUUUUUUUUUUUUUUAGUCCUCACCAGAGGAUAUUUUUCCAUUUUUAGAAAAGAGUAGAAGAGAAAGGGAAAGACAGAGGGAAACAUUGAUGUGAGAGAAACAAAUUGAUUGGUUGCCUCCUACAUGCGCCCUGACCAGGGCCCGGGCCAGGGAGAAGCCUGAAACCGAGGUACGUGCCCUUUGACCAGAAUCGAACCUGGACCCUUUGGUCCGCAGGCUGACGCUCUAUCCACUGAGCCAAAGCGCAAGGCCUGCAAUUUAACUUGCAAGAGCCUUCUGGUCUCCAAAGAAAAUGUGGCUCAUCAGAAUCAAAAAUUUUGGCUUUCAAUUGCAUUUUUUAAAUAUCAUGGGGUUUCAAAGUAUAGUUUCACAGUAAACAAAACAAAACAGAACAAAAAAUUAGCAACUAUUUUUCAUUUCUGAUUUUGUAGUCAGUGCUUGAGGUAAUGAGAAUCACACUGACUUUAAAGAUCAUGAGUAAGAAUUAUGUGCAGAAAAGAAAACCACACAAAUGUUUUUAAGAUAUUUUUCCCUAUGGGCUAAACAAUAAGAGCAUUCUCAGGCAAUCUUCAUUGAACUCUUCCACAUUCUAUACUAUAUAGCUAAAGCUUCCAUUUGCACAUCCUUCUGAUAUAACCUAUACCUACAACCAGUAACAUAACUUGUAGGGCCCUGAGCAAAAUGAAAUGCAGAGUUUUGUUCAAAAAUUAUUGAUCUGUAAGAGCAGACCAUUAAACCCAGGGCAGGGACAUGCUCAUGAAGCCACCCCUGCACACACCUUAAAAGCAAGUCAAGCCUGAGUGACCCACACUUUUCAUUCAAUGGAGCUCUAUGUUUCUGUGGCAGGAAGUGCUAUGUGUUCUAAACGCAUUCUUAUUUUAGAGAGACAUUAUAUAUUCCACCCUAUCUUGCAAUCAGGAAUUGCCAUGAGAAGGUUCUAUGUAAGGCCUCACUCUUUAUCUGCAACUCAGACAGAUUAAAAGUAAUUCAGGAGAGAAUUCUGUCAUUUCAGAGAAUAGUGAAGCCACAAAAUAGAAGAGGUCUAGAUUCCUGAAUCAUCAUAUGGAAGACUGCCUGCUAAAUACUACAUUGAACUGUCAAAUGAAGGAGAAAUAAAACCAGUGAAAUUUUGUGGUUUAUUGUAAUGUUUGACAUACCUUGACUAUGUCAGGAGUAACCUAUGUUAAAAUAAAAAAUGACACCAAAAUCUCAAUAUCUUAUAACAAAAAUUUAUUUCUUAUUUAUGAUAUGCCAUCCAGAAGAUUAUACUUAUCAUAGCUACUCAGGGAACUAAGCUGAUGAAACUUCACCAUGACUUAUGCUUCCAUGAUCAUCACAGCAGUGGAAAAAAAUCAUGAUUAUACAUUGUAAGGUUUUUGUGCAUACUGGUAUAUAAUACAUCAUUUCUACUUACACAUCAAAGACCAUAAGUCAAAUGGCCACGCCUAUCUUUAAAAAGAGCAAAGAAGCCCAGCCGAUAGGGCUCAGUCGUUGAGCAUUGACCUAGGAACCAAGAGGUCACAGUUUAAUUCCUGGUCAGGGCACAUGUAGGGGGCAUGCAGGAGGCAGCCCAUGGAUGAUGUUUCUCAUUGAUGUUUCUAUCUCUCCCUCUCCCUUUCUCUCUGUAAAAAUAAAUGAAAAUAAAAUUUUUUUAAAGAGCAAAGAAGUAUAAUCCCAUGUGCCAAAAGGGGGAAUCCAGACAUAUUUUGGAAAUGACAGUCCUGAAUCCCACAUGGUUAUAGACAUUGGUUUUUGGAAGGAGAGUGCUGCCAUACAGAAAGUUAAAAUAUGUUGUAUAGAAUAAGUAGGCAGCAAAAAAACAUUAGUACAGGCUGGUUAGCUGGAGAGCUCUAGUGCGCCUUGAUAAAAUAUUUAGUAAAACUGUCCUCCGUGAGAAGUAGAAGGUAGGCCAUGAGCCUAAUGAGACUCUUAACUGUAUGGGAAGUAGAUAGAGGGAGGGUAAUGGUGUGAAGUGAAAAUCAUUUUGCAAAAAUCAGAUUAAGGGUUUUAACUUUGCUAUCCAAGCCUAUUGCUUCAGAUAGCCUCAAGAGGGGCAUUUGCAAAGAAAUAAAUCAUUCUUGAUAAUUACAUACAGAAAAGAACUAGAAUGUGAAAUUUAGAAUAUGAAAUUAAAAGCAAAUAUAUCAGCCUACUAAGUUUUUAAGGGAAUUGUAUUGUUAAUGAAACCAUGUGCCUGGACUUAAAAAGACUUGGAGCAACCAUCAAGCUCCCAGAGUGUCCCCAGCAGAAAGCCCAGAUAACUUAUCUUUUUGGUUUAUAGGUUGUACCCUGAGGACCCACAUUUGAACCUGAUGGAAAGGCCUGUGCAUCACAUGAAGCUUUGAUUCAUUGACUUCACAACCCUAUCCCUGACAAGUACACUAGACCCAUGAUAGGAAUAACUUUCAUUGGUUUCAGUGAAUGUUUCUUAAUGGUGUAAAUUUUCAAAUUUCAUAUUUGUUAUCUUUAGGGAUUAAAGGGGCCAAGUCAAUACUUGAAAAAUGGGAAUUGUAACAUGGCCUCUUUUCCUUUAAAUUUAUGCUGAGCUACCUUGUUAAAUAAAUUUGUGCUGCCAAUUUUUUAAUGUUCUAUUCUCAUAGCAAUAGGCUGUGAUGUCAGAGGGUUAUCACAAAAUUGAUAAAAAAAAAUAUGCUAGGCUGUGAAGCAGAAAGCUCUGAUUGUUGCAUGUUAUUAAAAUAUCAUGU